rnacentral:rRNA from 1 species
AACGAACGCUGGCGGCAUGUCUAACACAUGCAAGUCGAACGAGACCUUCGGGUCUAGUGGCGCACGGGUGCGUAACGCGUGGGAACCUGCCCUUAGGUUCGGAAUAACUCCCCGAAAGGGGUGCUAAUACCGGAUAAUGUCUUCGGACCAAAGAUUUAUCGCCUUUGGAUGGGCCCGCGUUGGAUUAGCUAGUUGGUAGGGUAAAAGCCUACCAAGGCGACGAUCCAUAGCUGGUCUGAGAGGAUGAUCAGCCACACUGGGACUGAGACACGGCCCAGACUCCUACGGGAGGUAGCAGUGGGGAAUAUUGGACAAUGGGCGAAAGCCUGAUCCAGCAAUGCCGCGUGAGUGAUGAAGGCCUUAGGGUUGUAAAGCUCUUUUACCCGGGAUGAUAAUGACAGUACCGGGAGAAUAAGCUCCGGCUAACUCCGU